CAUGCACAUGUUUGUGGUUUGACACAGAUACACAUUCAGAAUAAUUUUAGGUAAACUCUCACGGUCUGAUCAUGACUAUCUUGAGUAAAGCAGAUCCAUAAGAUGUUGAUGCGAUGCACAAAACAAGGAAGCACC